UACAGAGGUCUCAAGCGUUGUUCGGAUUCAUUGGGCGUAAAGGGUGCGUAGGCGGCGCGGUAAGUCGGGUGUGAAAUCUUGGAGCUUAACUCCGAAACUGCAUUCGAUACUGCCGUGCUUGAGGACUGGAGAGGAGACUGGAAUUUACGGUGUAGCGGUGAAAUGCGUAGAUAUCGUAAGGAAGACCAGUGGCGAAGGCGGGUCUCUGGACAGUUCCUGACACUGAGGCGCGAAGGCCAGGGGAGCAAACGGG
rnacentral:rRNA from 1 species